rnacentral:tRNA from 1 species
UCCUGGUUAGCUCAUUUGGUAGAGCGCUCCACUAGAAAUGGAGAGGUACCUGGUUCGAUACUUGGACCUGGCG